AUACGUAGGUGGCAAGCGUUAUCCGGAAUUAUUGGGCGUAAAGAGUGAGCAGGCGGUUCAUUAAGUCUGAGGUUAAAGCGAGGGGCUCCACCCCAUAAAGCCUUGGAAACUGAUUGACUAGAGUACGGGAGAAGUGAAGGGAACUGCAUGUGUAGCGGUGAAAUGCGUAGAUAUAUGGAAGAACACCAGUGGCGAAGGCGCUUCACUAGCCCGAAACUGACGCUCAGUCACGAAAGCGUGGGUAGCAAAUAGGAUUAGAUACCCUAGUAGUCCACGCUGUAAACGAUGACAACUAAAUAUUGUCGCGAGGCAGUGUUGAAGCUAACGCAUUAAGUUGUCCGCCUGGGGAGUACGGUCGCAAGACUGAAACUUAAAGGAAUUGACGGGG
rnacentral:rRNA from 1 species